CAAAUGAAUCAAAACUUUCAACAACGGAUCUCUUGGUUCUGGCAUCGAUGAAGAACGCAGCGAAAUGCGAUACGUAAUGUGAAUUGCAGAAUUCAGUGAAUCAUCGAAUCUUUGAACGCACAUUGCGCCCGCCAGUAUUCUGGCGGGCAUGCCUGUUCGAGCGUCAUUUCAACCCUC
rnacentral:rRNA from 1 species